rnacentral:lncRNA from 1 species
ACCGCGGGCGCAGCGUCCAGGUUUAUGGGGAGCCGCAAGCUCGGCCCCUCCCCGUUCGCUCAGCGACUCCGGGAAAAAGCUGGGAAAACCCAAAGCGUGCGGGGUCCUAAGCGGGGCUGCCCGCCUCUCCACGGCACGGCCCCUGCGGUGCGAUGCUCAGCCCCGACCCGCAGCCCCCAGCACCCAUCCGGCCCCAUGCGGGUAGCGAGAGGGCGAAGGAGAGCUGCAGAAACUUGUUGGGACGUCUCCAGUGUUAAGCAGGCCACUGCAGGGCGUGCUGAUAAUUGUGGUCUGCAUCCAUGAGGGAUCAGGACAGCACUGUGCAUGGCACGCACCUCUCUCCUCAACCUUCCUUACGGCAGGACUUGGCACAGGACAGGGGGCUUGGAAGCACACACUGCUCACAGCACACAGCAGAUCCAGGAGCUGUAAAUCUGCCACCUGGCUGGUGGCUUUAUUGCUUUGGAUGUUGCUGGUGUCAAAGAAAUUUGGUGCAGGAGCCAGCUGGAGCACAGUCAGUUUUAUAUUUAAUCUUCGCUAUAAACGCAAAUAAAGGUUCUGUAUUUUGAGUGAGUGACAGACACACCAUGGUCAUUAUUAAACCUUCUAAAAAUAAACCUCUGCCGA